rnacentral:misc_RNA from 1 species
AGCAGGUUAAAUGGGGGAGGCUUGAACAAAAAUCGAUGAGGGAGGUCCCCCUUGACGAGGACCUCCACAGGCACUUGAAUUGACUUUGGGCCGUAAAAUGAUUACAGGCCGAAAGCUAAACUAGACGCUGAGAGAGUGAGAGAGCAUGUGCGUGUGGAAGAGCGUCGCAGCGAGAGAGACUGUGCAAGUGAAAAUGAGAGCGGGAUAGCGGAGCAACAGCAAAUGAAGCAGCAGAACAGAAAACGGGCGAAGUUCAACCCAGGAGUGCGAGUCCCCAGCAAAUUGCAAAUUAAACUGCUGAAUAAUACUAUGCUAUUCUAGUAACAAUUCAAUCCCCUAAAAUACAAUAAAACCCAAGUCGGAGCCCCGCUCUCGGAAGUGUAUGCUCGUGUGCGUGCGUGUGUGUGUGCGUGUGUGUGCUUGGACCUGGGUCUUGCCGUAACUCCAGUAAAUUUCUGCACAUAGCGGUGAGAAGGGGAGCAGAAAAGCGGAGUCAGCGACGAAGAAAACGGAAGCCUCGCACAAGGCGGAGGAAAAAUCUCGUUAAGAUGGAAAGCAAACCGAGGAAAUGACCGGCAGCACCACCAGCAGCAGCAGGUGAACUUGUGGAACUUCUUCGGAAAGGAGUGCCCCCGCAACUAAAUAGAUCGCCGUGUCCCUUUAUGAACAGACACACACACGCACACACGCACACACACACACACACACACACGGAUACGAACAGGUCACGCACACAACGAGGAGGCCAAAAUAGCUCAGGGCCUCUCCGUCGCCCUUACUUCACCACCUACGUGACCCGGCUCCCACGCAGCACGGCGAUUAUAAAUAGCUUUAGCUUUGCCGAGUCCAGGACUUGAGGCUGGUUGUACAAUGGUAACAAUGAACUCGGAGGCAGACAAAACUCAAGCAACCAAUGCUACCCUGGCCAUGAGCAACGCUGAAAAACACCCAGCCGUGGAGAGCACUAGUUCACUUCCAACAUCCCCACCAGCCACAGCCACGGCCGCAACAGAAAGCUGCGCCCCAGCUGCAAUAUCACCACCAGCUCCGGCUCAAGCUACAACUCAAACUUCAGUUCCCACUCCUGCCCCAGAAGCUCUGGCCAAUGGCAACAGCAAUUCCAACAUUCAGGAAGUGGUGGCCACCACCAGCUCAGGCAGCGCGGCCGCCACUACGGCAGAAGGAGGAGCAACGGUAAACGGAGGGGGAGGGGUGGUCACUUCGGCGGCGGCUGCCACGCCACCCCCCUCGGCCAAGACGGUGAAUGUCCGCGAUACCACUACCUCGGCGGGGGUCAGCAGCAGCUCGGCUAGCAAGUCUAGCGGCCUGCUGACAGUCAACAGCAAUCAUCACCAUCAUCAUCAUCAUCAGCAGUCCUCGUCGUCGUCGACAUCGUCGCAGCAGCAGGCGACCCCGUCUACGGUGGUCAUGCAGUCGUCGUCACAGCACCAGCGCAGUAAUAAGAACGAAGAUGCACCCAACAUACUCGUGUACAAAAAGAUGGAAACCAUUAUUGAGAAGAUGCAGGCGGAGUCGACCGGUGUGGCCGUGCGCACUGUGAAAGCGUUCAUGAGCAAAGUUCCGUCUGUGUUCACGGGCGCGGAUCUGGUGGCAUGGAUACUGAAAAACUUCGAUGUGGAGGAUGUGACGGAGGCCCUGCACUUUGCCCACCUGCUAAGCUCGCAUGGCUACAUCUUUCCCAUCGACGAUCAUGCGCUGACAGUCAGGAACGACGGCACCUUCUACAGAUUUCAGACGCCCUACUUUUGGCCCUCGAACUGCUGGGAGCCGGAAAACACAGACUAUGCGGUCUACCUAUGCAAGCGCACCAUGCAGAACAAAACGCGCCUGGAAUUGGCCGACUACGAAGCCGAGAACCUGGCCAAGUUGCAGAAGAUGUUCUCUCGGAAAUGGGAGUUCAUCUUCAUGCAGGCCGAGUCACAGAGCAAAGUGGCCAAGAAGCGGGACAAGCUGGAGCGCAAGGUGCUCGACUCACAAGAGCGCGCCUUUUGGGACGUGCACCGUCCCAUGCCAGGGUGCGUCAACACAACCGAGAUCGACAUCAAGAAGGCUUAUCGACGAGGCGGCUCCAGCCAUGGAACUGGUUCCUCCGGCGCCUCCGUGGCCAAGAAUCCAAUCGAGCAGCUGUCUCGCAUCAUUGCCCUGCGGAAACAGAAGCUCGAGCGGCGCACAAUCAAAGUGUCCAAGGCGGCCGAGGCUUUGGUUGCCUACUACGAUCAGUACAAUGAGUUCGAUUACUUUAUAACCUCUCCUGAGCUGCCCAAUCCCUGGCAAACGGACAGCACAGAAAUGUGGGAUACGGAGAAGAAUAGCAAAGAAGUUCCUGUUCGCCGCGUAAAGCGUUGGGCCUUCAGUCUGCGGGAGCUGCUGAACGAUGCCAUCGGACGUGAUCAGUUCACCAAGUUCUUGGAGAAGGAGUACAGCGGCGAAAAUCUGAAAUUCUGGGAAUCAGUGCAAGAGAUGAAGGCGCUGCCACAGGCGGAGAUCAAAGAGGCCAUACACAAGAUCUGGCAGGAAUUUCUCGCUCCCGACGCCCCGUGCCCAGUAAAUGUGGACUCAAAGUCCGUGGAACUGGCCCGGGAGGCGGUCAACUCACCGAACGGCCCAAAUCGCUGGUGUUUCGAUGUGGCCGCUUCACAUGUUUACCACCUGAUGAAGAGCGACUCGUACUCGCGCUACCUGCGCUCUGACAUGUACAAGGACUACUUGAACUGCUCGCGAAAGAAGAUCAAGUCCAUACCGAAUCUGUUUGGCGUGAAACGUUGAGACACACUCCGUGGACUGCCACGCUUUCAGGUUGCGUGAGAUGUUGGAUUGGUUCACGUAAUUGUGGAUUGGAGGCGUAAAGUUAACGGGGGGAAGGACCUUGAUACAUACUCCAGUCAGGUACUCAAACUCGUAUUUGUAUGUAUUUAAGCGAUGUUACUUAUUUAUUACUUGCCACUGUGUCGCGUGUUCUCGUUUAUGGAGAUUUUUUAUUAGUAUUUGUUAUACAUAUUAGUUACCUCGACGUGCCCAUCGUGAUCUUGCAAGGAGCUUCGUUCUGUUUUCCCUCUAAAAUCACAAUUCUCACAGCACUUUCCCAUUCUCCUCCUGGAAGCCCUUUUCUUCAUACUUUAUCUCGCGCUCUCUCUCUCUCUCUCUCUCUCUUUCUGUGUCCCCCUUCUGUGACCCUGUCUCUUUCUUUCUCGACGAAAACACCACUUAAGAUGAAAAAGAAACUGCCAAGAGAAUGUUAGAAAAUGGAGACAAACACAAAAAAAUAAAUUGUAAAUCAAACAUGGAAGUGAAGCAAAGCCAACACCAAAAACCGUCGAGACCUUAUUCUCGAUUAAAUGAUGCAUAUAAUUACAUAACAUUUCCAAAAAUUAUUCAGUACAUAAUUAUGAAAAAAACAAGGAAAAACACCAUACCGAAACACAUAAACCAAGCAAUUGUCAAGUGUAACCGAUAAUACUUAAAAAAAAGUAGAUAUACAAAAUACGAAAACAAUACGAAAAAAUGACAACCUAACCUAAAGAAAACAAGUGUGCUAACACACAAAAAAAGCCACCAACUGAAUUGUCAAACUAUAACCAAAAACAAAAAAAGAAUCAUAGAAGAGAAAAAACGAAUACCCUAGAAAAAACAACAUUUAACGGAGUCUAAGAACUAUAAUCGCAUAAGUAAUUAGCUUAAAAUGAAAAUCGAUCGAAAAUUAACCUUGAACUGGAAGAAAAGUUUGCAAACAAAGAAAAACAGAAUCCACCAAACUUCUGGUCAAGCAUCUUCUGUCCACACAUUCCCAUACACACUUCGGCAUUCCACCUUUUUCGAGUUCCUUCCUUUUCGAGGAUUUUCAUUCACACAGUAUGCGCACGCGCAGACACAGAUUUAAGCCUAGACAAGCGCACUCACAUAUCGAUAAGAAGUUAGCUGGAAAGAAAAACAUAGGUAUGAUUUUAUUCAUGUAAAAUUGUUCUGUCCAUUGCGGUUUUUUUUCCAGCGUGCGUAAACUUCUGUUAAAGAGAGCGGGGGCUUUAAUUUUGAAUAAAUGUAUACUAUACUAUUUUCUCUUGAAUAUUAGUUGUUGGAUAUGAGAUGGGAGACAGAGUGAUAAAAAGGAAAUGUCAAGUUCAGCUGGGGACAAAAAGUACACGAGAAAGUUAGGGUAAAUAGGGUCAAAGGUGUGAUAGCUGAUAGGAAGUUAGCCAAAAGAGAGCUUUACAAUAACGGAGAUAGCAGCGACGAUCCAGCUGGGAGAG